ensembl:snRNA U2 U2 spliceosomal RNA
GCCGCGCUCGGCCUUUUGGCUAAGAUCAAGUAGUAUCUAUCUGUUCUUAUCAGUUUAAUAUCUGAUACGCCCCGAUUCGGGGCAACGUAAACGCGCAUUUUAGAACAGGGAGCUGAAUAAGGGGCUCGCUCCGUUCGCUCCACGCAUCGACCGGUAUUGCAGCGCCCGGAAGCGGUGUGCCCCUU